rnacentral:rRNA from 1 species
CCUGAAAGCGCCCGCCGAAGCAACUAAAGUACCGUAAACACCGGGGGAGUUGGCUCCGCUAGGAACCCUCCCCUCGGUAAUGACUUCCGUAAGGGGGGCCUGCGGAAGGAUCAUUACCGAGUGUAGGGUUCCUAGCGAGCCCAACCUCCCACCCGUGUUUACUGUACCUUAGUUGCUUCGGCGGGCCCGCCAUUCAUGGCCGCCGGGGGCUCUCAGCCCCGGGCCCGCGCCCGCCGGAGACACCACGAACUCUGUCUGAUCUAGUGAAGUCUGAGUUGAUUGUAUCGCAAUCAGUUAAAACUUUCAACAAUGGAUCUCUUGGUUCCGGCAUCGAUGAAGAACGCAGCGAAAUGCGAUAACUAGUGUGAAUUGCAGAAUUCCGUGAAUCAUCGAGUCUUUGAACGCACAUUGCGCCCCCUGGUAUUCCGGGGGGCAUGCCUGUCCGAGCGUCAUUGCUGCCCAUCAAGCACGGCUUGUGUGUUGGGUCGUCGUCCCCUCUCCGGGGGGGACGGGCCCCAAAGGCAGCGGCGGCACCGCGUCCGAUCCUCGAGCGUAUGGGGCUUUGUCACCCGCUCUGUAGGCCCGGCCGGCGCUUGCCGAACGCAAAUCAAUCUUUUCCAGGUGACCUCGGAUCAGGUAGACCCAU